UACGGAGGGUGCAAGCAUUGAUCGGAAUGACUGGGCGUAAAGGGCGCGUAGGCGGCUUUUUAAGUCAGAUGUGAAAUUCCGGGGCUCAACCCCGGAGCUGCAUUUGAAACUAGAGAGCUAGUGGCUAGUAAGGGAAAACAGAAUUCCACGUGUAGCGGUGAAAUGCGUAGAUAUGUGGAAGAAUACCGGUGGUGAAGACGGUUUUCUGUGCUAAGCCAGACGCUGAGGCGCGAAAGCUAGGGGAGCAAACAGG
rnacentral:rRNA from 1 species